rnacentral:lncRNA from 1 species
UGAUACCUAAGAGUCAUAAUUUCGGAAUAAAAGUUUGAUCUUAUGCCCAAGGGUUCCUUAUUGGCUCUGUAGGGUAGUCAGCCGCGGAAUUUUCUUUCAUUAUUCUAAAGAGUUUGAAAUUCACACUUCCAUUUUUCGCCUUAAAAAAAUUAAAUAAAAAAUAAAAUGCUUGAAAUAUUGGCAUAUUUAAUGACUAUACAAAUUUUAUUUAAUAAAUAAUAACUAUUUUCAUAAACGAAAUUCUAAUUAUUAAUUUAAUCUCGAAAACCUAUUUCAAACAACUGAGAUAGAAAGGCACGCACAUUUAAAAGCUAUGGAAAGAAUUCAGAGAAACAAAAACAAUGUCACACCCCAUUUAAUACUCCACUUAAGUGGAAUACAUGUGUCAACCGUCCGGUUCUCCCCUGGUGAGUGAGAGACAAACUCUGAUCAACUUUUAAUUCCCUUCCCUCGUGAUCCGUGCAGCAGCAGCAGAGCAGUGAACCCCAGCAAGUGGAAGUCAGGUGUCACGCUGGAGUUGGCCAAACCGUUCGGAUUGGAGGCAGUAUUUAAGGUAAGAGUGAAGACCUGACGCCACUUUUGCAUGCAAUCUUCAUCUUCUUCCUCAAACCCAACUUUCUGAAAAUCUCAAAUUCUCCUCCUUCUCUCUAAAACCUCCCUACCUUCUCUCUAAAAUUCUAACUCAUUCACUAUUCCGAUCACCCUUCAGAUCACACCUGAAGACUCCUGGUGGUCUCCCCUUUCACUUAAACCGUCCGGUUUUCAAGUUUGCAUCUGAUCUUGGGGAAACUUAGAAGAAUAGUUCAUACCAACUUAUUUUCAAGACUUAGCUGGAAUUAAAGGUAAGGGAAGCUUAUAAAGUUUAAUUAUGAUUUUCUGUAUGGUUUGAAUAUGUGCCAGAUUUGAUGCAUGUUUGAUAUCUAAAGUAUGUUGCUUGAUUUCUUAUGAUUGGAAUAUGGUAUGUUGUUGUAUGAGUUGCAUGAUAAGUAUGAACUAUGAAUUUUGCACUGAUAAGAGUAUGUAUGAAACUUAGAAGAAAACGUGAAUCUGAGAUCGAAGGUCAUUAGGACCGUUCGGUCCUCCCUUUUCCGUUCGNUCUAUUGUGACUGAUUGGCCUAGUAUAGUUACUAAAACUGAAUUGGUUUCCUUUAAGUAUUCUUUUGAUCGCUAUUUAAGAAUGCUGGUCAUAAACCAAGCGUUCGGCCUUCCAAGUGUUUGGCCUUAGGCUGACACUUGAAUUUAUAAAAUUUGUAAAUCUGAUAUUCUUUCUUUUGAAACCGUCCGGUCACUUAAUGGCUGAAUGGUCUAGUGAAUCCUUUAAUUAUUGAGACGUCCAGUUUACUUGACUAAACCUUUUACUCCUUUAAAGAGUUCCUUAUUCCUCAAUUCGUCCGNCCUGAUAAGUGUUUGGUCAUAGACCAACCUUCAACCAUCUUAAUUCCUAUUUUAUGAUAUUACUGUCAAACCGUUCGGAUGACUAUCAUUCAUAGUAAAUCCUUAAGCUACGAUCUCAUUCUUUAUCUAAUCAUUCUAUAUAUCAUCGACAUACUUCUGUUAUUCAGUCUUACCUUUGAUAUGACCGUCCGGUCAUUUACUUGAAUUCUUGAUACUCAUUUUACCCUUUUGAUUUAAACCGUUCGGUCACUAUUGGUUAUAAUUCCGUAUUGGAUAUUUGGUACUCCUAUCAACACCCUAACAGUUUGAAAGAAAUAAUGAACAUUGGUUGAAUUUGACUAAGUAAGAGAAUUCCACUGGCGGAAUGACUCAUGAAUUGGUAUUGAUUGGUAAAGUAUGGAUGUGGGAAUGACUCAGGUGUUGUCCUUGAUCCUGAUAUUCCGUGACGACGCUUUCUCAAGUAGAGAGAGGUCACUCAUGCGUGGGAAUGGCAGGAGGUCCGCGGUUAUAUGAGUAGAUAACCGUUUGAGGGCUAACCUCGGGUGGCAGCUGAUCAGAGAGACAGUUACUACACCACACCGGGUGCUAGGGACGACCGAGCUACAUGUUCAUACCGUCCGGAAAGUGUCUUAGUGGUCGGUCAUAAAUUGGUGAACUUAGUAUGCAUGUGUAGUACUUGUGUGUAUAACAUGUUGACUGGUUCUGUUUAUUUGUUUAUAUGUAUGUUGAAAUCAUUAAUUAAAUUUACGUAAGCUUACCCUUAUCCUUUGUAUCUUUGCCUAUGUUGUCGUUCGGUAUCCGACCGUUCGGUCAUUCUCUUCAUUGCAAUGAUCAUCCGGUUGGGUGUGAGCAGAGGAUAACUUAGAAGUUACCUUGGAAGCUACUUUGGAGGACACUCUGGAAGAUGCAGUAGAAGCCGUGCCCGAGAGUUAUGCAGGACCGUCCGGUCCUUAGUAUAGUGUUUUCUCUUGGUUUUAUAUUUUGUAGAUGCUAUGUAUAGGGAACUUUUGAUGAUUGACCGUUCGGUCAAUGAAGUUAGUCUAAGACCGUUCGGUCUAACUUGUAAAUAUUUUACUUAAUUGAACUGUUGAACAGUUUUAAAUUAAAUGCUAUUCUCCUAUCCCUUUCACCUCUCGGUUUAUUCAUUAUUGUUCUCCUUUAUUGUUCAUGUUAACUCCUGAAAAUGAAUUAUAGCUUUGGUUAUAUUUAUUGGGAUGUUACAUUAAUGGUAUCAGAGCAGUUUCUUCCUUAGAAUGCCUGUAGGUUAUGAGUAUACCAUGUUUAUGCUGUGUACUCACUUAUCCGAUCGGAAUAUUCUGAUUCUGGUGGACUAAUGGAUCUUUCUUUCUGUUGGAAGCAGAAAAUGGCUCCAAGACCACCCCAUCAACCUGUUGUUAGAGAUACGUCCGGCGAGAACAACCUGUUGGAGUCCGUCUUAGCUGCACUUCAACAGCAGAAUGCCAACCUGGUUCAGCAGAAUGCCAACCUUGCUCAACAAAACGCUUUGGCCAUGCAGCAUUCUGAAGCGGCCAAAGCCUCAGCAGAAGCAACCCAGAGGCAGAUUGCUGAUUUAUUGACGAACGGAAUGCAGUCUGGCAGACCGUUCGGUUCUUCAUCAAGCAACCAGGCUGAAUGGAGUCUGGAGAGCUUUCUCCAGCACCGUCCGGCCAAGUUUGAUGGAAAAUGCAGUGCUGACGAAGCCGAUCACUGGCUUCGUGACAUGGAGAGGAUCUACGAUGCCAAGAGGUGUGGAGAUGAGAACCGACUGGCUUUUACAGAGUAUCUGUUGACUGGAGAGGCCGGUCAUUGGUGGAGUAGUACCAAGAUGCUACUGGAGGAUGAACAUCUCCCUAUCACUUGGGAGAUAUUCAAGAAUAGGUUUAUGAAGAAUACUUCCUGAACAGCGUCCGGUUCGCCAAAGAAGUGGAAUUCCUUCAGUUGGUUCAAGGAGGAAUGACGGUCUCUGAGUAUGCUAAUAGAUUUAAGCAACUCAUGAGGUUCUAUACAAUGAGGAUGAGUGAAGAAUGGCAGUGCAGGAAGUUUGAGAAUGGACUGAGAGAAGACUUGAAACCAGUCAUUGCCAGUCACUGUAUUCAGAAGUUCCCUGCCUUAGUGGAGAGGGCAAAAGUACUAGAGAAGAAUCUGAUGGAAGCCGAAAGGUGUAAGAAGCAACAACAAUCAAGCUCUAGGGGACCUAUCUUUGCAAGAAACAACUCUGGUCCCAGAACGAACCCUUACUCUCGGCCCAUGCCAUCUCAGGGUCCUUCUACUUUGGCCGUUCGGCCUGUUAGCUUUGCCAGACCGUCCGGUCAACAAGGGAGUGUAAGUUGCUUCAGCUGUGGAGGCCCUCACUUCAUGAAGGAUUGUCCCAGGCCAGCAAAUGCCAAGUUUUGUGUCCGGUGCAGAAGGAAUGGGCACUUAGAGAGGGACUGCAAUAUGGGUGGCCAAACGUUCUCAAGGCCACCGAACGCUGGAAGGUUUCAACAGAGUGGAGGCCGAGCACAAGCAGCUGGCCGGGUCUACGCUAUAACGGGGGCUGAAGCGUCCGGUGCAGGUAACCUCAUCACCAGUACUUGCUUGCUAUUUGGUGUUCCCUGCUGUGUAUUAUUUGAUUCGGGGGCAACACACUCCUUCAUCUCGAAGGCAUGUGUUGAUAGACUGGGUUUAGCCGAGAGAGAGAUGCAGCUCGACUUAGUGGUGUCAACCCCAGCAGCUGGUGAGGUUAGGACAUCNACUGUAUGUAUAAAAUGUCCUAUUGAGGUAGAAGGGUACAAGUUUAAGGUGAACCUCAUAUGUUUACCUCUUCAAGACUUAGAAGUAAUNUUAGGAAUGGAUUGGUUAACCUCCAAUCACAUUCUUAUUGACUGUGGGAAGAAGAAGCUGAUUUUCCCAAGAGAAGAAGAGAAGCUGACUUUGACGCUCGGUCAGAUGAGAGAGGACUUGAUUGAAGGUGCAAUGAGUUUCCUCAUUCUGACUUAUAUGGAUGCAAGUGGAGCAAACCGUCCGGUUGGAAACCGUCCGGUUAUUGAGGAAUUUAUGGACGUGUUUCCNGAAGAGGUACCAGGCCUACCCCCACAAAGAGAGGUUGAAUUCUCCAUUGACUUGAUCUCAGGAGCUGGCCCUGUAUCCAUUGCACCGUACAGAAUGGCUCCAGCAGAGCUGGCCGAAUUGAAGAAGCAAAUAGAGGAGUUAUUGGAGAAGAGAUUCAUCCGGCCAAGUGCCUCACCUUGGGGAGCCCCAGUGCUUUUGGUCAAGAAAAAGGAUGGCAACUCUCGGUUAUGCAUUGACUAUAGGCAGUUGAACAAACUGACUAUCAAGAACAAGUACCCCCUGCCAAGAAUAGACGAUCUGUUGGAUCAACUUCAUGGAGCUACAGUCUUCUCCAAGAUAGACUUGAGGUCCGGAUAUCAUCAAAUUUUGGUCAAGGAAGGUGACAUCCAGAAGACUGCCUUUAGGUCAAGGUACGGUCAUUAUGAGUACGUGGUAAUGCCGUUCGGUGUUACCAACGCUCCUGCUAUCUUCAUGGAUUACAUGAACCGUAUCUUCAGGCCUUUCUUGGACAAGUUUGUGGUAGUGUUUAUUGAUGAUAUCCUCAUCUACUCCAAGAACCGAGAAGAGCAUGAAGAUCAUUUGAGGAUGAUCCUUGGUGUACUUAGGGAGAAGAAGCUGUACGCUAAGUUGUCCAAGUGCGAAUUUUGGAUGGAACAAGUACAGUUUCUUGGGCAUGUUAUCUCAGCCGGCGGAAUUGCUGUGGAUCCAGGUAAAAUCCAAGCAAUACUAGAAUGGGAGACACCCCGUUCGAUUUUUGACGUGAGAAGCUUUGUUGGAUUGGCAGGCUACUAUAGACGGUUUAUUGAAGGAUUCUCUAAGAUAGUAGCGCCGUUGACGCAAUUGACCAGGAAGGAUCAACCGUUCGUCUGGACCGACCGGUGUGAGUCCAGUUUCCAGGAAUUGAAGCAGCGACUGACGAACGCUCCGGUUUUGNUAAUUCCUGACGUCAACCAACCCUUUGUUGUAUUUUGUGAUGCUUCAUAUCAAGGCUUGGGUUGUGUGUUGAUGCAAGAAGGGAAGGUAGUGGCCUAUGCCUCUCGGCAAUUGAAGAUUCAUGAGAAGAACUACCCAACACAUGAUCUAGAAUUGGCAGCAGUGGUAUUUGCCCUUAAGAUAUGGAGGCACUACCUAUAUGGUGUCCGGUUUCAAGUAUUCAGUGACCACAAGAGCCUCAAGUAUCUAUUUGACCAGAAGGAACUGAACAUGAGGCAAAGGAGAUGGAUGGAGUUCUUAAAGGANUAUGAUUUUGAACUACAAUACCAUCCUGGCAAGGCAAACGUAGUAGCUGAUGCUUUGAGCAGGAAGACCGUUCAUAUGGCAAACAUGAUGGUCCUAGAGUUGAAGUUGGUGGAAAGCUUUAGAGACUUAAGGCUCCAUUGUGAGUUAGAGCCGAACGGUAUUCAUUGUUGCUAUAUGAAGCUGUCAAGUGAUAUCUUUGACCGGAUCAGGGAAAGGCAAGCCUUUGAUGAAGAACUGCAGAAGAUCAGUAAACCGAACGGUGUACCACCCCACAAGGACUUCAGUUCUGGGACGGAUGGUCUUCUAAGAUAUAGAGGAAGGACUUGUGUUCCCAAUGAUGAAGACUUGAGAAGAUUGGUUCUGGAAGAAGCUCAUCAAAGCCGUCUUAGCAUACACCCCGGUAUGACUAAGAUGUACAAGGACCUUCGAAUGUCUUUCUGGUGGCCAGGAAUGAAACACGAUGUAGCUCGGUUUGUGGAAUCUUGUUUAACCUGUCAAAGAGCUAAGAUAGAGUACCAGAAACCGAGCGGUCUUUUACAGCCACUAGAAGUACCAGAAUGGAAGUGGGACAGCAUAGCCAUGGAUUUCGUGACUCACUUGCCCCGUACAGUCAGAAACCAUGAUGCUAUAUGGGUAAUAGUUGAUAGACUGACUAAGAGUGCACAUUUUCUUCCUAUCAACUUGAAGAUGCCAAUGUCCAAGCUGGCUCAGCUAUACAUCAAAGAGAUCGUUCGGCUGCAUGGAGUACCGUCCGGUAUAGUGUCAGACCGAGACCCCAGAUUCACCUCUCGGUUUUGGCAAGCACUUCAACAGGAAAUGGGAAGCAAACUUCAGAUGAGUUCUGCCUACCAUCCGCAAACAGACGGCCAGUCCGAGAGAACCAUCCAAACCCUAGAAGACUUAUUGAGAACUAGUGUUCUAGAUCACUUAGGGGUUUGGGAUGAAAUCUUGCCUUUAACUGAGUUCACUUACAACAAUAGCUUCCAUUCAAGCAUUGGGAUGGCACCUUAUGAAGCUCUUUAUGGAAGAAAAUGCCGAACACCCCUCUGCUGGUUCCAAGAAGGAGAAGCAGUGUUAACCGGACCUGAGAUCAUCCAACAAACAAUUGAGAAGGUGAAGUUGAUCCAGGAAAGACUUAAAGCGUCUCAAAGCCGACAGAAAUCGUACGCCGACAGAAGAAGGAAGCCUUUGGAAUUCGCUGCAGGAGACCAUGUAUUCCUCAAGCUAAACCGUACGGCUGGAGUUGGAAGAGUCGUCCGGCCAAAGAAGCUUUCUCCUAGAUUCCUUGGUCCAUACCAAAUCUUAAGGCGCAUUGGACCAGUCGCUUACGAGUUAGCCUUGCCUCCUCAAUUGUCCAACCUUCACCCUGUUUUCCACGUUUCUCAACUCCGGAAGUACAUUGCGGACCCUUCUCAUGUGCUUGAAGCUGACAACAUUCAACAUAAGGAAGACUGUUCGGUCGAGAUACAACCAGUUCGAGUCGAAGGAUUGAUGGUCAAACGUCCGCCCGGUAAAGCCACGACUCUCGUCAAGGUCAUCUGGGAUGACCGAACGGGUGAUUCAACUUGGGAACGAGAAGAAGUUAUGAAGGAGUCCUACCCGCAUCUCUUCCCUUGUAAGUCUUAAUUUUCGAGGUCGAAAAUUUUAUUAGUUAGGGGGGAUGUCACACCCCAUUUAAUACUCCACUUAAGUGGAAUACAUGUGUCAACCGUCCGGUUCUCCCCUGGUGAGUGGGAGACAAACUCUGAUCAACUUUUAAUUCCCUUCCCUCGUGAUCCGUGCAGCAGCAGCAGAGCAGUGAACCCCAGCAAGUGGAAGUCAGGUGUCACGCUGGAGUUGGCCAAACCGUUCGGAUUGGAGGCAGUAUUUAAGGUAAGAGUGAAGACCUGACGCCACUUUUGCAUGCAAUCUUCAUCUUCUUCCUCAAACCCAACUUUCUGAAAAUCUCAAAUUCUCCUCCUUCUCUCUAAAACCUCCCUACCUUCUCUCUAAAAU